AUUGAACGCUGGCGGCAGGCCUAACACAUGCAAGUCGAGCGGAUGAAGGGAGCUUGCUCCUGGAUUCAGCGGCGGACGGGUGAGUAAUGCCUAGGAAUCUGCCUGGUAGUGGGGGAUAACGUCCGGAAACGGGCGCUAAUAUCGCAUACGUCCUGAGGGAGAAAGUGGGGGUUCUUCGGACCUCACGCUAUCAGAUGAGCCUAGGUCGGAUUAGCUAGUUGGUGGGGUAAAGGCUUACCAAGGCGACGAUCCGUAACUGGUCUGAGAGGAUGAUCAGUCACACUGGAACUGAGACACGGUCCAGACUCCUACGGGAGGCAGCAGUGGGGAAUAUUGGACAAUGGGCGAAAGCCUGAUCCAGCCAUGCCGCGUGUGUGAAGAAGGUCUUCGGAUUGUAAAGCACUUUAAGUUGGGAGGAAGGGCAGUAAGUUAAUACCUUGCUGUUUUGACGUUACCAACAGAAUAAGCACCGGCUAACUUCGUG
rnacentral:rRNA from 1 species